AUCUGUUCCAGUUUAUUGAGAGAACAUUCAAUUGAUGGCACUGGCUGGGCUCCAACUAGAACAUUAAAGGAUGUUGUUUGGGGAUUAAACUCUUUAUUUACAGAUCUCUUGAAUUUUGAUGAUCCUUUGAAUAUUGAGGCUGCAGAACAUCAUUUGCGGGACAAGGAGGACUUUCGGAAUAAAGUUGAAGAUUACAUUAAGCGGUAUGCAAGAUGAUGAAGGAAGACUGAUGGCAGGACCAUGGAUUUCAAACUGUAGAGUUGUCUUUAUAACUUAUAAAACAACAACAAAAAACCCAGAUUGUACUAGUCCUGUGUCCAUGUUGUACUGAAGAAAAAAACUAACUUCAUAAUUGUCCAAGGUAAAUGGACAGUUCAACAUAAAUACAGCAAGAAAUUGUGUAUGUUGGUUUAAAAAAAAGUUGUUUGCUUCCUUUUAAAAUGUUUUCCCUUCAGAAACUGUACUGUAUAUCUUGUUGAUGAAAUAUGCUUGAGAGUUAAAAGAAAUCACUAUUGAAGUUGUACUACACUUUUCUUCUUGCCUAGUAAAAAUAGUGAUGCAUGUCUGGAACACUUCAAGUUGGCAAUAAAAUGGUCUCCCUCUAAACCAAAUUAUACUCCUAUUGCCUUUCCUGGAGCAGAAAUAAUAUCAGCUUUUCCCAGGAGUCACUGGAGCUUGUCAGAAUGCAUAAAAUCAACUAUCUAAUACUAAAAAUCUAAUUAUAUUUAAUCCAAGUACAUUUUGGCACAAAUUUGUGACUUGUACAUUGCUACUUUGAGUUUGAGCUACAGUACUUUUAGUUUGUAUUGUUUGUGCAAAAUAGUGAAGAAAUAUAGGCUAAUCCAUAACCUAAAAGUCUAAAUUUGUAGUAUUAGGUAAAAAAUUAUAUAUUCUGUGCAAAUGCACCAAACGGCUAACUUUUCAAAACAGGCCUUUCAGAUCCAGAUGUGCAGAAGAAAUUUUUGGAGAUUUACAUAAAUUGACAAUGCAGUUUGGAUUAAUUUUCUGGUGAAUGACUCAGGGUGUUCUGUAACCCUGUGCCCUUGAGCGCAACAUACUGACAGCGCAUAUAACACACUGCACCAUUGUUGUAUUAUUCUGUGAGCCUAGGUUUUAUUUAUUUUUAAUUUUGCAGGGGGAGGGAUUAUGCUAAAGGAGUGAUGCUAUAAUCCCUCUUCUUGUAAGUAGCUGAAUAUCAAAGAAGAGUAAGGACAUGUGAAUAGAUUCUGCAGAGAAUCUGUUCAAAGCUAAUGGCAUGAAACACUUGGAAUCAGUGCUGUGAAGAGUAUUGUGUAUUGUCUACUAUAGCUCACCUGUGCUAAUCAGAAUGAUGCUCAAUAUCCUGUUUGGCCUAAUGAAAAUGAAUGGAUACAGCCAUAGACAUCUCAGUGCAUUGCAUGGUGGGAUCAGAGAGUGGAAAUGGAUUCGAUUCAAGUUUUUAUAAAUAGAUGGAGCAAAAAAAUAAAUGUUUGUGGUUUUCAUACA